UGCUAUAAUAUGAUGCAGUGCAUUGCUGCUGGGCAUCAGAUCGUUGCUUUAGCAAAUCUAAGACCAGCUGAAAACCAAGUGGGGUCUGAUGAACUGGAUAGCUACAUGUAUCAGACAGUGGGGCACCAUGCCAUUGACUUGUAUGCAGAAGCAAUGGCUCUUCCCCUCUAUCGCCGAACCAUAAGAGGAAGGAGCUUGGAUACAAGACAAGUGUACACCAAAUGUGAAGGUGAUGAGGUUGAAGAUCUCUAUGAGCUUUUGAAACUUGUUAAGGAAAAAGAAGAAGUAGAGGGGAUAUCAGUAGGUGCUAUACUUUCUGACUAUCAGCGUAUUCGAGUGGAAAAUGUGCUUAGAUCCUGAUAAGCAUCUUGGGAAAACCCUGGAUCAAGUGGAGCCUUAUCUCAUAGAGCUUUCUAAGAAGUAUGGAGUACAUGUUUGUGGAGAAGGUGGAGAGUAUGAAACUUUCACUUUGGAUUGCCCUCUAUUUAAGA
rnacentral:sRNA from 1 species